UGGCAAUGAGGAUUCUUUGAGAUUGUCAUGCACCACUCUGAUGAUGUUUAACAUCAGUCUGUGAUGAUAAGUUUCUCUAAACCCAUUGAUCUGAGCCU